rnacentral:rRNA from 1 species
UAUAACAUAGCAUUAAUUCAACGGAUCCCAUUAGAACUUCGCAGUUAAGCACACUCAAGCUAGAGUAGUACUAGGAUGGGUGAUCGCCUGGGAAGUCCUAGUGUUUUAC